GAUGAACGCUGGCGGCGUGCUUAACACAUGCAAGUCGAACGGUGAAAGAGAGCUCGCUCUCUGGAUCAGUGGCGAACGGGUGAGUAACACGUGAGCAAUCUGCCCUUGACUCUGGGAUAAGCGUUGGAAACGACGUCUAAUACCGGAUACGAGCUGCGAAGGCAUCUUCAGCAGCUGGAAAGAACUUCGGUCAAGGAUGAGCUCGCGGCCUAUCAGCUAGUUGGCGAGGUGAUGGCUCACCAAGGCGUCGACGGGUAGCCGGCCUGAGAGGGUGACCGGCCACACUGGGACUGAGACACGGCCCAGACUCCUACGGGAGGCAGCAGUGGGGAAUAUUGCACAAUGGGCGAAAGCCUGAUGCAGCAACGCCGCGUGAGGGACGACGGCCUUCGGGUUGUAAACCUUUUUUAGCAAGGAAGAAGCGAAAGUGACGGUACUUGCAGAAAAAGCGCCGGCUAACUACGUGCCAGCAGCCGCGGUAAUACGUAGGGCGCAAGCGUUAUCCGGAAUUAUUGGGCGUAAAGGGCUCGUAGGCGGUUUGUCGCGUCGGGAGUGAAAACCUUGGGCUUAACUCAGGGCUUGCUUUCGAUACGGGCAGACUAGAGGUAUGCAGGGGAGAACGGAAUUCCUGGUGUAGCGGUGAAAUGCGCAGAUAUCAGGAGGAACACCGGUGGCGAAGGCGGUUCUCUGGGCAUGAUCUGACGCUGAGGAGCGAAAGUGUGGGGAGCGAACAGGAUUAGAUACCCUGGUAGUCCACGCCGUAAACGUUGGGCGCUAGAUGUGGGG
rnacentral:rRNA from 1 species